GGUGCGUGGAAUGAAGCGAUGACAGCUGGAACCAGAGGAGAGCUCCUGAAUCAUGAUGUGAACUUGAGAACAGAGGCCCAGAAAGGUGACAGAUAGACAUAGCUGAAUCAAUGAAGGACAAUACUUGCCUAAAAUGUGCAACAUAAAUAUAGAAAUCCUAUGAACAGAAGAUUCAAAACCAGUACUGGAACAAAACCAGCUCUGAGCUCUGGUGAAUCUUCGGUGUAGAAGGCCACAUCUGAACGACAACAAAGUCUUUCAGCUGCUUCCUUGUUCCAUAGCUGGCCAGACUACAGAUCUUGCUGGCUGGCUUUUUCAUUAUUCCUCCUUUGAAGAUCUCUUUAACCACACCUUUCUGGAACCGAGGGACAAGAAAUACUCUUUAAAAACCGUUGGAUUACCACGUUGAGAAGCAUCUUUGUGCUUUCUUCUUCUUUUUCUGGAUGAAGAUCAGCCAAACACAGAAGCAGCAUUAAUGUUCCUUUGCUGGCAGUUCCAUCCAACCUCCCAGGGGAAGGCAUUUUGCCAAGUUCUUCUCUGCCCAUUUGAAAUUCAAAUCCCUGAAUAAGCCUCAGUGCCACCUUUGUCCAGAAACCUCAAAAGCCCCAGUCCAUGUCAAUCUGCCUUGAAAUUAUAAAGGGACAUAUUACUGUGUAGGAAGAUAAGCUGUGUUGAAAUAACAUCCAGGGCGGUUGUUAAAUAAAUUCAGGAAAACCAAGA